rnacentral:rRNA from 1 species
AAAGAAAAAGAAGGUCCCGCCCUGCCCGUGUGCACUAUAUGUUUAACGGCCGCGGUUAUUUUGACCGUGCGAAGGUAGCGUAAUCACUAUGCUCUUUUAAAUGGCAGACCUGUAUGAAUGGCAUAACGAGGGCUUAACUGUCUCCUCUUUCCAGUCAAUGAUAAUUGAUCUCCCCGUGCAGAAGCGGGGAUAAAUACAUAAGACGAGAAGACCCUAUGGAGCUUUAGACACCAAGACAGAUCACGUUAAGCACCCCUUGAUAAAGGCCUGAACUUAGUGACCCCCUGUCCUAAUGUCUUCGGUUGGGGCGACCAUGGGGCAACACAAAACCCCCAUGUGGAAUGGGAGAACAAGCCCAAUAUAUUAUUUUCCCACACUCCCAGAAGCAAGAGCCACAACUCUAACUAACAGAACUUCUGACCUUUCAUGAUCCGGCUCCCGCCGAUCAACGGACCAAGUUACCCUAGGGAUAACAGCGCAAUCCCCUUUUAGAGCCCAUAUCGACAAGGGGGUUUACGACCUCGAUGUUGGAUCACGACAUCCUAAUGGUGUAGCCGCUAUUAAUGGUUCGUUUGUUCAACGAUUAAAGUCCUACGUGAUCUGAGUUCAGACCGGA